rnacentral:rRNA from 1 species
UACUCGAGUGGCGAACGGGUGAGUAACACGUGGGUGAUCUGCCCUGCACUUCGGGAUAAGCCUGGGAAACUGGGUCUAAUACCGGAUAGGAGCCAUUUUUAGUGUGAUGGUUGGAAAGUUUUUUCGGUGUAGGAUGAGCUCGCGGCCUAUCAGCUUGUUGGUGGGGUAAUGGCCUACCAAGGCGGCGACGGGUAGCCGGCCUGAGAGGGUGAUCGGCCACAUUGGGACUGAGAUACGGCCCAG